CACGCCGUAAACGAUGAGUGCUAGGUGUCGGGGGUCAAACCUCGGUGCCGCAGUUAACACAUUAAGCACUCCGCCUGGGGAGUACGGUGGCAACACUGAAACUCAAAGGAAUUGACGGGGACCCGCACAAGCAGCGGAGCAUGUGGUUUAAUUCGAAGCAACGCGAAGAACCUUACCAAGGCUUGACAUCCCUCUGACCGGUGUAGAGAUACACCUUCUCUUCGGAGCAGAGGUGACAGGUGG
rnacentral:rRNA from 1 species